AUGUAUCACACGCACUGCCUUAACGUUUCCAAAAAAGAAAAAUCCAGAGCGGGGAGAAGAAAGCGCCGGCAGCAGCUCUGCAGGCUCAGGGCUGAGGAUCCAGUAAUGAAGUCUUUCUGGAAGGAAUUUCAAAUGAUGGCUGACGGUCAAGUGGCUAUUUUGGACCAUGAGGUGACCUUGAGAAAGGAACCAGAUCGUGGUGCAGACAGGAGCCUCUAUAUUGGUCUUGGACUGCCUACCUUUGGAAUACUUUUCAGUGAGAGAGAUGAGUCAGCAAACCAGAUCUCAUCCUUCUGAAAAGUGGACCCGGGAAGGUACAGAUGACGGUUGGAUCUUAGACUGAGUUAUACCCUAUCGCAUUUAGAUGAAGGAAUGGAAACAAAGGUGAAACAAAAACAAGUUUAAAACCAAGUUUAAAAACAGACGAAUGGAUAAAGAAGAUGUGGUACAUAUAUACAAUGGACUAUGACUCAGCCAUAAAAAUGAAUGAAAUUGGAUCAUUUGUAGAGACAUGGAUGGAUCUAGAGACUGUCAUACAGAGUGAAGUAAGUCAGAAAGAGAAAAACAAAUAUCGUUUAUUAAUGCAUAUAUGUGGAACCUAGGAAAAUGGUACAGAUGAACUGGUUUGCAGGGCAGAAAUAGAGACACAGAUGUAGAGAACAAAUGUAUGGACACCAAG